rnacentral:rRNA from 1 species
AUUGAACGCUGGCGGCAGGCUUAACACAUGCAAGUCGAGCGAGCGGCGGACGGGUGAGUAAUGUAUGGGGACUGCCCGAUAGAGGGGGAUAACUAAUGGAAACGGUAGCAAAUACCGCAUAUUAUCGGAUAACCUAUAUGGGAUUAGCUAGUAGGUGAGGUAAUGGCUCACCUAGGCGACGAUCCCUAGCUGGUCUGAGCGGAGGAUCAGCCACACUGGGAAUGAGCCACGGCCCAGACUCCUACGGAGGCAGCAGUGGGGAAUAUUGCACAAUGGGCGAAAGCCGGAUGCAGCCAUGCCUCGUGUAUGAAGAGGGCCCUAGGGUUGUAAAGUACUUUCAGUCGGGAGGCGUUACCGACAGAAGAAGCACCGGCUAACUCCGUGCCAGCAGCCGCGGUAAUAC